rnacentral:lncRNA from 1 species
GAAACCAACGUUUGAAUCGCUACCAAAUUACUGUUGUGCACAUUGGACUCUCUGCGCACCACCAUGCAUGUCUUCAUCAUCUUCAUCGUAUGCCUCUUGUGCCUGUUGCUGCUUCCUACGCAUCUCCUCUUCGAUGUUGACAUCAUGUAAGGUGGUCUCCUCGCACUCAUCCAAUUCCAUGUCAGUCAUUUGUGUUUUGGGUUUUGCUGGCAGCACUGCUUCGAGGUUCUUGCACUGAUCGGGGGAUAAUGUGUCGGGGAAUUCUACAGUAAAGUGAAUGUAUAAUUUUCCUCUCAUAAAUGGCCUUCCGUACAUAGGCAUUCCUUCAUCAUUUAUGGCCUUAAAUUGAUCUGUUGAGGUCAAAAAUGAAGUUCACAAUUGAAAUCUAGCAUACUGAUACCACGGAUAAUAAAGGACAGACAAUUUCUACAAACAACAGGAGAUAGUCAUACAGACAGUGUGAGCAAGCGGAGAACUAUUCGACUUGCAUAGUGUAUAAGGGAGACCGCGAUAUCUCAGGAAGUCCGAGGCAAAUAUUAGAACGUAAAAGCAACUGAAGUACUUUAGGCUUACCAGGCUUGACAACUUCUCCGGGUUGGGACUUGAUGAUCAGCUGUCUGUUGUCCAGAUGAGUCAAGAUAAACUGGAAACCGCAUAGGGCCUCGGUCAAGCUCAAGGUGUGCUCUACAAAGAGAUCAUCACCCUUGCGCUUAAACUUGGGAUGCUCCUUCUGUUGCAAGACAAAAACUAUGUCCCCAGUGACUGUAUCAGGCUGCCAAAGAAUAAACAUAAACCAAGUAAAGAUCAGCGGUCCCCUAUUAAUAACAUAGGAUUGAUCAUUACGACAUAAAAUCAUAAACUACUUCAAACGCUAAUUGCAUGUCUUACUGCUUCAUCAGCCUCGCCCGGAAAUGUUAUCUUUUGUCCGUUCUGCAUACCCUUCUCCACAACAACUUCCAACACCUUCUUCUCCUGUACGACCUUCUCACCUUUACACUGCCCACAUCUAUCUUUAUCAUUGAUCAUCUCACCAGUACCCUUACACUCAUUGCAAGGGUGCUGCAUCUGCUGGAUCAUGGAUGGGCCAAGUUGUCUGAUAGUGACUUUCAUCCCAGAUCCUUGACAGCCAGAACAUUUCAUUGAAGCACCUGAU